UACGGGGGGGGCAAGCGUUGUUCGGAAUUACUGGGCGUAAAGGGCUCGUAGGCGGCCAACUAAGUCAGACGUGAAAUCCCUCGGCUUAACCGGGGAACUGCGUCUGAUACUGGAUGGCUUGAGUUUGGGAGAGGGAUGCGGAAUUCCGAGUGAGCGGUGAAAUGCGUAGAUAUCGGGAAGAACACCCGUGGCUAAGGGCGGCUCUCUAGUACGGUACUGACGCUGAGACGCGAAAGCGUGGGGAGCGAACAGG
rnacentral:rRNA from 1 species